rnacentral:rRNA from 1 species
GUGAGGAAUCUUCCACAAUGGGCGAAAGCCUGAUGGAGCAACGCCGCGUGAAGGAUGAAGGUCUUCGGAUUGUAAACUUCUUUUAUGAGUGAAGAAUAUGACGGUAACUCAUGAAUAAGCACCGGCUAACUACGUGCCAGCAGCCGCGGUCAUACGUAGGGUGCAAGCAUUAUCCGGAGUGACUGGGCGUAAAGAGUUGCGUAGGCGGUUAUGUAAGCGAAUAGUGCAACCUGGUGGCUCAACCACACAGACUAUUAUUCGAACUGCAUAACUCGAGAAUGGUAGAGGUAACUGGAAUUUCUUGUGUAGGAGUGAAAUCCGUAGAUAUAAGAAGGAACACCAAUGGCGUAGGCAGGUUACUGGGCCAUUUCUGACGCUAAGGCACGAAAGCGUGGGGAGCGAACCGGAUUAGAUACCCGGGUAGUCC